rnacentral:rRNA from 1 species
UACGUAGGGCGCAAGCGUUGUCCGGAAUUAUUGGGCGUAAAGAGCUCGUAGGCGGCUUGUCACGUCGGGUGUGAAAGCCCGGGGCUUAACCCCGGGUCUGCAUUCGAUACGGGCUAGCUAGAGUGUGGUAGGGGAGAUCGGAAUUCCUGGUGUAGCGGUGAAAUGCGCAGAUAUCAGGAGGAACACCGGUGGCGAAGGCGGCCCGCUGGGCUGUGGCUGACGCUGAGGCGCGACAGCGUGGGGGAGCAAACAGG